CUGGGAAGAUAACGGAGGUUGUUUACUCGCCUUGGACGCGAGAGGUCGCAGGUUCGAAUCCUGCUUCUCAGA
rnacentral:tRNA from 1 species